rnacentral:rRNA from 1 species
UGGGGAAUAUUGCACAAUGGAGGGAACUCUGAUGCAGCGACGCCGCGUGAACGAAGAAGGCUUUCGAGUCGUAAAGUUCUUUGAUAUGGGAAGAUAAUGACGGUACCAUAAGAAAAAGCCCCGGCUAACUACGUGCCAGCAGCCGCGGUAAUACGUAGGGGGCUAGCGUUGUCCGGAAUCACUGGGCGUAAAGGGUUCGCAGGCGGAAAUGCAAGUCAGGUGUAAAAGGCAGUAGCUUAACUACUGUAAGCAUUUGAAACUGCAUAUCUUGAGAAGAGUAGAGGUAAGUGGAAUUUUUAGUGUAGCGGUGAAAUGCGUAGAUAUUAAAAAGAAUACCGGUUGCGAAGGCGACUUACUGGGCUCAUUCUGACGCUGAGGAACGAAAGCGUGGGUAGCAAACAGG